AUUGAACGCUGGCGGCAGGCCUAACACAUGCAAGUCGAGCGGAUGAAGGGAGCUUGCUCCUGGAUUCAGCGGCGGACGGGUGAGUAAUGCCUAGGAAUCUGCCUGGUAGUGGGGGAUAACGUCCGGAAACGGGCGCUAAUACCGCAUACGUCCUGAGGGAGAAAGUGGGGGAUCUUCGGACCUCACGCUAUCAGAUGAGCCUAGGUCGGUUUAGCUAGUUGGUGGGGUAAAGGCCUACCAAGGCGACGAUCCGUAACUGGUCUGAGAGGAUGAUCAGUCACACUGGAACUGAGACACGGUCCAGACUCCUACGGGAGGCAGCAGUGGGGAAUAUUGGACAAUGGGCGAAAGCCUGAUCCAGCCAUGCCGCGUGUGUGAAGAAGGUCUUCGGAUUGUAAAGCACUUUAAGUUGGGAGGAAGGGCAGUAAGUUAAUACCUUGCUGUUUUGACAUUACCAACAGAAUAAGCACCGGCUAACUUCGUG
rnacentral:rRNA from 1 species